CCCCUCUCAGGGCCACACCUGGAGAGUUUCCAUUACUCUACCAGUCUCGGCAACAGGAGGGAAAGUCAAGCAGAGGGAUACCCAUUCCAUUCCUAACUUGACCAGUGGCUAGCUAGUGGAAGGCAAUCUGCUACAAGU